CGUCACAGAAAACUAGUAUAAGUUUAAGUCGUGGGGAACGGUGGAGCUCAAAAUCCCACUGCACGAUUCUGGGACGAUGGGUAUACAACUGACAGGCACGGCUGGCUGCAUCUUGGUAUUAACAUAGACGGUCGUAGAAAGGCUCAAAUGCUAUUGCGGAAAGGAUUGAAGGUCAAGAUGCACCGCCCCGGCCUUUGAGGCUGCUUGUGUUUUCGCUUUUUAUUUCACUUUGGCGCAUUGCUGGGAUAUCGUUAGAAGAAGAGUCAGUUUGCACAUGGAGGUGUGGUGAGACUGCUGAAGUUGUCCGCCCUGCCAGGAUGUGAUGCAUUUUUUCUCGGGGAGGGUAGCCACAAAGUGGCCAAUGGAAGACUGACUGUCCGACGCGCUGGUAAAGGCCAUGGACGAGCUGUAGCUGGAGCCCGUUCCCCUCCCCUCUUCAGUGCACACCGCACCGCCUCUGACGGGUAGGGGACUGUGCCAUGUUGUGGGGACGAAGGAAAGGAAAGCCCAGCCGCUGUUUCUCUGCCGCACUGGGCCUGCUUUACGUGGGCGUCAUGGCGACGGUGUGGGCAAGGGGCCCGCAGGGAUGCCGCCGCGAAAUCAUUGGCGUGGUGGAAAGCAUCUUGAAGGAUGUCGGCAGAAUGAACUCCACUGAGGAGGGACUCUAUACACCGAAUGUCAAUGACUAUAAAAAAUGUCCUGCCUCCACAUUGAGGUGCUUUGCAGAGGAGUCAAAAGUGUUGGUGUAUCUCAAUCCUAAUUUAAGUGGUCAACUCACCAGAAGACUGAUGUCCAUUAGUCAGAAGGACUGGGAGCGGGAGCGCUGCCCGCAGUGUGAGGUCCACAGGGCAGAGCCGCUGGAGACGUUCCUUCGCACACUGUACGGGAUCCUGCAGCUGUGGUGUGACAGUGCAGAACAAGGCAACAGGAUGGGCCGUUAGGUCACCGCCUGGGCCUGCGCAGACAAAGCUGCUAGCUGCAACCUGGCUCCACAUUUCCCUCCCACCCCUGAGAUGAGGGGAAGAGGCGAAGAGGCAAAAAGGCUAUGAGCGGAGGGCCUGUUCCAGAUCUUUCGGAGUGACCUAAGGUUUGGAAGCUGGUCACCUUCUGCAGGAACUGUGCAAAGCAUAGCAACGAAGGGAAGCUGGAGCAAACAACUUUCAUACUGAAUUGUUGUUUGCUUUAACUUUUAUUUAUGUGAUUCUUGGCAAGUCGUUGGCAAAGUCUUGGUAAAUCACUCUCCGAUGGCAGCUCAGGCUACCAGAAAUCUGGGAUAAGGCCUAACCAGAAAGCCUUGGAUGUUUUACAUAAGACAGUAAUAAGCACACUAACUGUGGUAAUGGAUGUGCUUUGGUCUAAAAAAGCUUUCAGCCACUUCUGCAGCAACAGAUAUCAGUUUACUUUCCUGAUGAUGUAACAAGCUUCAACCAUGCAUUAAAGGAGAGAGGGGAUAUGUAUCUCACUCUGUUCUAAGCAGCGCUGAAAAACCAGUGCCCUUACAGAAAUGUUGGUAAGCUGCUGACCAAUUCAGUGUAUCCAGUUAAUUUCCUGGGAAUAAUUUCCAAAGCCUAUUUUCUAAAUGAAAAUACAGCAAUUCAGUUGUUUUUAAACCAAGACAGUAUAUAUAUAUAUACAAAUAUUCGCACAACAUACAACAAUUAAAAAUUUUUCAGACACUGCUGGAUGACUUUUUAUGAAUGGAUCCGAGAAAAAUGUUUCUGUUAUUGGUAUUCUUGUUGUAAUGCUCAUUUGUAAUUGUUUAUUCACAUUGAUUUAUGAGAUGGACAAUAAAACUGAUGGUUGUCUCAAUGAGAUUUGUAGUCACAGUAUGUAUGUUAAGUUACAGUGUAUUAUCUCAAGAAGAAAUUUAGCUGUUUUGGGGGUGUUUACUUCCAAAACGUGUUAAAACACUUUGUAGACUUACACUCCACACAAGAAGAUAAUGGUACAAUACUUCAGUCAAUCCAAUCAAAUCAAUUCAAGUUCAGGUUUUAUUUUUAUGUAAAGUAAGUAGGUUAAGGUAAGACUCUUAUUACUAAGGUAAGGUAGUAAGACUCUUGCCAAUCACAGGGGAUAUGUUCUGGAUAUCCCCCAGGAAUUCAGAAACCCAUGAGUACUGUACAAUACCAAUAAUCAGGCCCUAUUGAGAAACAAAGCAACUACAUUUUCACUCUUAAAAAUGCAAUCAUGUAUUAAACUUGUGCUUAAUAUAUAUAUUUAUGUAAUAAUGUUAUGAAUGCAGAUAAUGUGUAAAAUGAUACUCUGCAGUCUGGUUACAGAGAUUGAAGGUGAUAAGAGACAGUGCUGCCUUUAGCUUGUUUACUAAACUGGUGUCAAAAAAGACAAAAUCUGGUGCUGAAAGGAUUAGUAUGUUACACUGUUUUAUAUUGCAUAAUUCAAACUCAUGUGGUUGUAAUUUUGUGUGAGGUUCUUCACUUGGAACUGGAAAAUACUUCUUUUCAUCUUAUGUGUUGUCAGUGCUGCAACAGUAAAAAUCUUGUUGAAUGCAGCAUCAUUCAACAUGCAUUGUAAACCUGGAUUCAUGAGCCCCUUUAGAUUUGUGUGUAAAUAUUAAAUAUUGCUACAUUUUGUG